rnacentral:rRNA from 1 species
UACGUAGGGUGCGAGCGUUGUCCGGAAUUACUGGGCGUAAAGGGCUCGUAGGCGGCCAACUAAGUCAGACGUGAAAUCCCUCGGCUUAACCGGGGAACUGCAUCUGAUACUGGAUGGCUUGAGUUCGGGAGAGGGAUGCGGAAUUCCAGGUGUAGCGGUGAAAUGCGUAGAGAUCGGGAGGAACACCAGCGGCGAAGGCGGCCCCCUGGGCCGCUCCUGACGCUGAGACGCGAAGGCCAGGGUAGCGAGCGGG